UGGACUGCGCAGUGGCAGUAUUGUAGCCAAUGAGGUUAAUCCGAGGCGCGAUUAUUGCUAGUUGAAAACUUUUCCUUUCCCAGGGUGCAGUAAAAUAGAAAAAUCAAAAUCUCAAUACAAGUAUCUUUCCAGGCUGCCAUUUUUUGAAAAAAUGAGCUUU
rnacentral:snRNA from 1 species